UUAAAUUCUUUGAAUAGCGAGGGAUUCUUGAUAGAGCAAAAGGGACCAAUUGCAAUGGUUAGGUAAUAAUGAUAAAUCUAACCAUUGGUCCCUUUUGCUGUAUCAAGAAUCCCUCGCUAU